rnacentral:lncRNA from 1 species
CUCUAAUCAAAGAUAUUUAUUAAGGGAAUUGACCAAGAUUUUUAAUCCCAUGAAAUGGAAUGUUCCAUUAAGCCCAUAUGAUACCAGCUAAUGUAUGUGCUGUCUGUUGAUGGUUCAAGAAGACAGUUCCCUUUUAUUUUAGGUAAAUCAUGUUUGAAUACUGGAUAGUUUCUUAUACCUUUGCCUUUAUUUCUACGAUGUCUAUUUAAUGUACAGAUAGAUGCCUAUGGAGGCAGCAACCUCACUAACAAUGGAUCAUAUGGAAUAUCUAUCUGAUAUCAGCACAAAUGAUUAAUGUAUAAUCUUUUGUUAUUACAUUGUGUGACUUACUGUUACAGCAAAUCAUCUGAAAUUGUCUUGCAGUGGGAAUGAUAGCUAUCAACCAGAUGCUCAUUUGCUCGCCCGAGGGUCACUGAGAAACAGGAACAAAAGGUACAACAGCUUGGAGAGCUGACACCACUCUUAAAGUUAAUGUAAACUCUCAUUGACCAAGCUCACUGGGGUAGAUCAGGCCCUGUAGAAGCCACUGCAAUAGUAAAAAAGGCAAAAAAAUAGACCUUUUGUGUAGAAAGAUAGCAAGGUACUAAAUAAUCGUUCCAAACAAGCUCUUGAUACAGAAUGUAAAAGAAUCCCUCCAGACAAAUACAUUUUAGUGAGGUUAUCCUAAUUCUCUCACACAAACCCUACAUUCCCACUUCUCAUUAUUUAUAUUCACUGUGGUUCUCAUGAGAGCAGCGAGCAAGAUGUCAUUUUGGAAGUGCUGCUAUCAAGGGCAUACGUAGUUUAAUUAUUAAAACAAAACUGUUGCUUAGCAAGCUUUAAAUGCCACUGCUGCCACUUAGAAACUGAUGUGAUUUGCAUUUCUUUUAAUCAAUUAGGUAUUUAAUUACAUUAUAAAUGUAAUCUCUAAUUGAAGCAUCUUUUCCCAGUGGGUAUAGCUCCAUGACGAUUUUGAACGAGCUAUCUGGAAGUUGGUGCAUGCUGCUGCAGGGAAGACCUUUGAAGACCUUUCUGGGACUCCUAAAUGCUGUUYGGUUCCAGUCAUGGCUUAUUGCUGGUGAUUCAUUCUUUGGGGAGCCAUGUAUUCACUACUUUACAGAUGUGGAUCCUGGCACAAUUCUGCAAAACAGCUAAGGUACAGUUGCCACAGGCAAAUGUAGCAGUAAGAGGUGGGAAAGGGAGGGAAAAGGGUGGUAACAAAUAAAGUGUUAAGGCCUAAAAGCUCUGAAACA